CGUUAUAGUUUGGAAUGGCGCCCUGCAAGUGGCAUAUGUGGCCUAUUCGAGUACCAGCAAUACGAUGCGCAAGGUGUUUCCAGGCACCACUCUCACAGAGGAGGAGAUUUUCAUUUUCAACACUGUACAGUCACAAUGCCAUGUAACGGAUGGUCCCGGACCAGGACUUGUCCACGAGAGGAUAAAUAACAUGUUGAAAAACACUGCAAACCUAGCGGCAUUCGGAUGUGUGGAGAGAAACAAUAUGACCUCAACAAGCUCUUGUCAAUUAUUUACAAUUGUGUAGUGCACUCACUUUGUCAUCAUAUCCUCAUCCUCAUCUAAGAACUUGUUAUUCAUUGCACUGUAAGUUUGACUAUAUGCAUUGUGUCAUGUAUUUAUUGUGGACCCCAAUUCAAAACAAAUGCAUUGUUUCCAAAUGUAAUUGUAUAAAGAAUUAAGUGCUUAGAAUAAGUAGUAGUAGCAGUUAAUAGUUAUUGUACAUAUCCGAUAUACCAAUUGUCAUGACAUACACGAAUAAUAAAUGUAUUACGAUUAUAUGAGGUGUAA